AACGAACGCUGGCGGCGUGCCUAACACAUGCAAGUCGAACGGAGAUAAGGGGCUUGCUCCUUAUUUUAGUGGCGCACGGGUGAGUAACGCGUGGAUAAUCUGCCUGAUGCUCUGGGAUAACAUCUCGAAAGGGGUGCUAAUACCGGAUAAGCCCACGGGGUCUUCGGAUCUUGCGGGAAAAGGAGGGGACCUUCGGGCCUUCCGACAUCAGAUGAGUCCGCGUCCCAUUAGCUAGUUGGUGGGGUAAAGGCCUACCAAGGCGACGAUGGGUAGCUGGUCUGAGAGGAUGAUCAGCCACACUGGAACUGAGACACGGUCCAGACUCCUACGGGAGGCAGCAGUGGGGAAUUUUGCGCAAUGGGGGAAACCCUGACGCAGCAACGCCGCGUGAGUGAUGAAGGCCUUUGGGUCGUAAAGCUCUGUCAGAGGGAAAGAAAUGUGGGCGGCUAAUACCCGUUCCACUUGACGGUACCCUCAAAGGAAGCACCGGCUAACUCCGUGCCAGCCGCCGCCGUAACAC
rnacentral:rRNA from 1 species